UGUGGGAGCUGGCUUGCCUGCGAUAGCGGUUUUUCAUCUGAUACAGUUGUGACUGAUACACCGCCAUCGCAGGCAAGCCAGCUCCCACA
rnacentral:misc_RNA from 1 species